UACGGAGGGUGCAAGCGUUAUCCGGAUUCACUGGGUUUAAAGGGUGCGUAGGUGGGAAUGUAAGUCUGUGGUGAAAUCUCCGUGCUUAACAUGGAAACUGCCAUUGAUACUAUGUUUCUUGAAUUAUCUGGAGGUCAGCGGAAUAUGUCAUGUAGCGGUGAAAUGCUUAGAUAUGACAUAGAACACCAAUUGCGAAGGCAGCUGGCUACAGGUUGAUUGACACUGAGGCACGAAAGCGUGGGGAUCAAACAGG
rnacentral:rRNA from 1 species